UACGGGGGGGGCAAGCGUUGUUCGGAAUUACUGGGCGUAAAGGGCUCGUAGGUGGCCAACUAAGUCAGACGUGAAAUCCCUCGGCUUAACCGGGGAACUGCGUCUGAGACUGGCCGGCUUGAGUGCAGGAGAGGAACGCGGAAUUCCAGGUGUAGCGGUGAAAUGCGUAGAUAUCUGGAGGAACACCGGUGGCGAAGGCGGCGUUCUGGACUGCAACUGACACUGAGGAACGAAAGCCAGGGGAGCAAACGGG
rnacentral:rRNA from 1 species